rnacentral:rRNA from 1 species
UAGGGAAUCUUCCACAAUGGACGCAAGUCUGAUGGAGCAACGCCGCGUGAGUGAAGAAGGCUUUCGGGUCGUAAAACUCUGUUAUUGAAGAAGAACGUGUGUGACAGUAACUGGUCAUGCAGUGACGGUAUUCAAUCAGAAAGUCACGGCUAACUACGUGCCAGCAGCCGCGGUAAUACGUAGGUGGCAAGCGUUGUCCGGAUUUAUUGGGCGUAAAGCGAGUGCAGGCGGUCUUUUAAGUCUGAUGUGAAAGCCUUCGGCUUAACCGAAGAAGGGCAUCGGAAACUGGGAGACUUGAGUGCAGAAGAGGAGAGUGGAACUCCAUGUGUAGCGGUGAAAUGCGUAGAUAUAUGGAAGAACACCAGUGGCGAAGGCGGCUCUCUGGUCUGUAACUGACGCUGAGGCUCGAAAGCGUGGGUAGCAAACAGGAUUAGAUACCCUGGUAGUCCACGCGUAACGAUGAAUACUAAGUGUUG